rnacentral:tRNA from 1 species
GGGGUUAUAGCUCAGUUGGUAGAGUGUUUGCCCAACAUCACAAGGCUCUGGGUUCAAUCCCCAGCACCACCA